rnacentral:rRNA from 1 species
AUUGAACGCUAGCGGCAGGCCUAACACAUGCAAGUCGAGCGGAGCGGCGGACGGGUGAGUAAUGCCUAGGAAUCUGCCUGGUAGUGGGGGAUAACGUCCGGAACCGGGCGCAAAUACCGCAUACUAUCAGAUGAGCCUGGGUGGGAUUAGCUAGUUGGUGGGGUAAAGGCCUACCAAGGCGACGAUCCGUAACUGGUCUGAGGGGAUGAUCAGGCACACUGGAACUGAGACACGGUCCAGACACCUACGGGAGGCAGCAGUGGGGAAUAGUGGACAAUGGGCGGAAGACUGAUCCAGCCAUCCCGGUUGUGUGAAGAAGGUCUUCGGAUUGUAAUGCACUUUAAGUUGGGAAGCGUUACCUACAGAAUAAGCACCGGCUAACUUCGUGCCAGCAGCCGCGGUAAUAC